rnacentral:tRNA from 1 species
ACUUGGCUGGCUCAGUCGGUGAAGCGUCUGACUUCAGCUCAGGUCAUGAUCUCACGGUUCGUGGGUUCGAGCCCCAUGUCAGGCU